UCGAGAAUUUUUCACAAUGGGGGCAACCCUGAUGGAGCGACGCCGCGUGGAGGAUGAAGGUCUUCGGAUCGUAAACUCCUGUCACUACAGAACAAGAGCAAUGGCAUUAAUACUGCCGUUGUUUGAUGGUAUGUGGAGAGGAAGGGACGGCUAACUCUGUGCCAGCAGCCGCGGUGAUACAGAGGUCCCAAGCGUUGUUCGGAUUUACUGGGCGUAAAGGGUGCGUAGGAGGUCGAGAAAGUUGGAUGUGAAAGCCUGUCGCUUAACGACAGAACUGCACUCAAUACUACUCGGCUAGAGGAUCAGAGGGGUAAGCGGAAUUCUUGGUGUAGCGGUGAAAUGCGUAGAUAUCAAGAGGAACACCAACGGCGAAGGCAGCUUACUGGAAGAUUCCUGACUCUGAGGCACGAAGGCCAGGGGAGCAAACG
rnacentral:rRNA from 1 species